rnacentral:rRNA from 1 species
UUUAUGGAGAGUUUGAUCCUGGCUCAGGAUGAACGCUGGCGGCGUGCCUAAUACAUGCAAGUCGAGCGAACGGACGAGAAGCUUGCUUCUCUGAUGUUAGCGGCGGACGGGUGAGUAACACGUGGAUAACCUACCUAUAAGACUGGGAUAACUUCGGGAAACCGGAGCUAAUACCGGAUAAUAUUUUGAACCGCAUGGUUCAAAAGUAAAAGACGGUCUUGCUGUCACUUAUAGAUGGAUCCGCGCUGCAUUAGCUAGUUGGUAAGGUAACGGCUUACCAAGGCAACGAUGCAUAGCCGACCUGAGAGGGUGAUCGGCCACACUGGAACUGAGACACGGUCCAGACUCCUACGGGAGGCAGCAGUAGGGAAUCUUCCGCAAUGGGCGAAAGCCUGACGGAGCAACGCCGCGUGAGUGAUGAAGGUCUUCGGAUCGUAAAACUCUGUUAUUAGGGAAGAACAUAUGUGUAAGUAACUGUGCACAUCUUGACGGUACCUAAUCAGAAAGCCACGGCUAACUACGUGCCAGCAGCCGCGGUA